rfam:Jatropha curcas cultivar GZQX0401 scaffold200_17, whole genome shotgun sequence.
UCUAAGGCCCCUUUCGGGGCCCCAGUACUAUUCCAGAAGAAGCAAG